rnacentral:rRNA from 1 species
UACGUAGGGGGCAAGCGUUGUCCGGAAUCAUUGGGCGUAAAGCGCGUGUAGGCGGCCAGGUAAGUCCGUUCUGAAAGCCCGGGGCUCAACCCCGGGAGGCGGAUGGAUACUGCUUGGCUCGAGUCCGGAAGAGGCGAGUGGAACUGCGAGUGUAGAGGUGAAAUUCGUAGAUAUUCGCAAGAACACCAGUGGCGAAGGCGGCUCUCUGGGGACGGUACUGACGCUGAGACGCGAAAGCGUGGGGAGCGAACAGG